rnacentral:rRNA from 1 species
UACGGAGGGUGCAAGCGUUAUCCGGAUUCACUGGGUUUAAAGGGUGCGUAGGAGGGCAGGUAAGUCAGUGGUGAAAUCUCCAAGCUUAACUUGGAAACUGCCGUUGAUACUAUCUGUCUUGAAUACCGUGGAGGUGAGCGGAAUAUGUCAUGUAGCGGUGAAAUGCUUAGAUAUGACAUAGAACACCAAUUGCGAAGGCAGCUCGCUACACGAAUAUUGACUCUGAGGCACGAGAGCGUGGGGAUCAAACAGG